rnacentral:tRNA from 1 species
GUCCUCGUAGCUCAGCAGGAUAGAGCGACCGCCUCCUAAGCGGUAGGUCGGAGGUUCGAAUCCCCUCGGGGACG